UACGUAGGGGGCAAGCGUUAUCCGGAUUUACUGGGUGUAAAGGGAGCGUAGGUGGUUCGAUAAGUCAGAUGUGAAAGCCCGGGGCUCAACCCCGGGACUGCAUUUGAAACUAUCGAGCUAGAGUGCAGGAGAGGUAAGUGGAAUUCCUAGUGUAGCGGUGAAAUGCGUAGAUAUUAGGAGGAACACCAGUGGCGAAGGCGGCUUACUGGACUGUAACUGACACUGAGGCUCGAAAGCGUGGGGAGCAAACAGG
rnacentral:rRNA from 1 species